AUUGAACGCUGGCGGCAGGCCUAACACAUGCAAGUCGAGCGGAUGAAGGGAGCUUGCUCCUGGAUUCAGCGGCGGACGGGUGAGUAAUGCCUAGGAAUCUGCCUGGUAGUGGGGGAUAACGUCCGGAAACGGGCGCUAAUACCGCAUACGUCCUGAGGGAGAAAGUGGGGGAGCUUCGGACAUCACGCUAUCAGAUGAGCCUAGGUCGGAUUAGCUAGUUGGUGGGGUAAAGGCCUACCAAGGCGACGAUCCGUAACUGGUCUGAGAGGAUGAUCAGUCACACGGGAACUGAGACACGGUCCAGACUCCUACGGGAGGCAGCAGUGGGGAAUAUUGGACAAUGGGCGAAAGCCUGAUCCAGCCAUGCCGCGUGUGUGAAGAAGGUCUUCGGAUUGUAAAGCACUUUAAGUUGGGAGGAAGGGCAGUAAGUUAAUACCUUGCUGUUUUGACGUUACCAACAGAAUAAGCACCGGCUAACUUCGUG
rnacentral:rRNA from 1 species